rnacentral:misc_RNA from 1 species
GAUGAAGAACGCAGCGAAAUGCGAUAAGUAAUGUGAAUUGCAGAAUUCAGUGAAUCAUCGAAUCUUUGAACGCACAUUGCGCCCGCUAGUAUUCUGGCGGGCAUGCCUGUCCGAGCGUCAUUUCAACCCUCAAGCCCCCGGGCUUGGUGUUGGGGAUCGGCGAGCCUCCGCGCCCGCCGUCCCCUAAAUCUAGUGGCGGUCUCGCUGUAGCUUCCUCUGCGUAGUAGCACACCUCGCACUGGGAAACAGCGCGGCCACGCCGUUAAACCCCCAACUUCUGAACGUUUGACCUCGGAUCAGGUAGGAAUAGCCGCUGAACUUAAGCAUAUCAAUAAGCGGAGGA